rnacentral:rRNA from 1 species
GAUGAACGCUAGCGAUAGGCUUAACACAUGCAAGUCGAGGGGCAGCAUGGUCUUAGCUUGCUAAGACUGAUGGCGACCGGCGCACGGGUGCGUAACGCGUAUGCAACAUGCCUCACAGAGGGGGAUAACCCGUCGAAAGACGGACUAAUACCGCGUACACUUGGGAUAGGGCAUCCUACUCCAAGGAAAUGAAAUUCGCUGUGAGAUAGGCAUGCGUCCCAUUAGCUAGUUGGUGAGGUAACGGCUCACCAAGGCGACGAUGGGUAGGGGAACUGAGAGGUUGAACCCCCACUCUGGUACUGAGACACGGACCAGACUCCUACGGGAGGCAGCAUGAGGAAUAUUGGUCAAUGGGCGAGAGCCUGAACCAGCCAAGUCGCGUGAAGGAUGACUGUCUUAUGGAUUGUAAACUUCUUUUAUACGGGAAUAACAAGAGUCACGAGUGACUCCCUGCAUGUACCGUA